rnacentral:rRNA from 1 species
AGCGAACGCUGGCGGCAGGCUUAACACAUGCAAGUCGAACGGGCAUAGCAAUAUGUCAUUGGCAGACGGGUGAGUAACGCGUGGGAACGGACCUUUUGGUUCGGAACAACACAGGGAAACUUGUGCUAAUACCGGAUAAGCCCUUACGGGGGAAGAUGUAUCGCCGAAAGAUCGGCCCGCUUCUGAUUAGCUAGUUGGUAGGGUAAUGGCCUACCAAGGCGACGAUCAGUAGCUGGUCUGAGAGGAUGAUCAGCCACAUUGGGACUGAGACAAGGCCCAAACUCUUACGAGAGGCAGCAGUGGGGAAUAAGGGACAAUGGGUGAAAGACUGAUCCAGCCAUGCCGUGUGAGUGAUGAAGGCCCUAGGAAUGUAAAGAUCUUUUGUGCGCGAAGAUAAGGAGGGUACCGAAAGAAUAAACCCCGGCUACUUUCGU